rnacentral:rRNA from 1 species
GUAGGGGGCAAGCGUUGUCCGGAUUUAUUGGGCGUAAAGAGCGUGUAGGCGGCCAGGCAGGUCCGUUGUGAAAACUGGAGGCUCAACCUCCAGACGUCGAUGGAAACCGUCUGGCUAGAGUCCGGAAGAGGAGAGUGGAAUUCCUGGUGUAGCGGUGAAAUGCGCAGAUAUCAGGAAGAACACCCGUGGCGAAGGCGGCUCUCUGGGACGGUACUGACGCUGAGACGCGAAAGCGUGGGGAGCGAACAGGAUUAGAUACCCUGGUAGUCCACGCCGUAAACGAUGGGUGCUAGGUGUGGGAGGUGUCGACUCCUUCCGUGCCGAAGCUAACGCAUUAAGCACCCCGCCUGGGGAGUACGGCCGCAAGGCUAAA